GGAGUUCAUCUGGACACUACUCUACCAAUGUUAAAGAAGUUCUUAGAGGAAUUUAUAGGAUAAAAUCAAUGAGUUGUUGCAAAGGGAGCUACACCACCCACUAAGGCA